rnacentral:rRNA from 1 species
UCACUAUUGGAGGAGCCUGCGUUGGAUUAGCUUGUUGGUGAGGUAAUGGCUCACCAAGGCGACGAUCCAUAGCUGGUCUGAGAGGACGAUCAGCCACACCGGAACUGAGACACGGUCCGG